rnacentral:rRNA from 1 species
CUGCCAGACUCCUACGGGAGGCAGCAGUGGGGAAUAUUGCGCAAUGGGCGAAAGCCUGACGCAGCGACGCCGCGUGAGGGAUGAAGGUCUUCGGAUCGUAAACCUCUGUCAGCAGGGAAGAACGGUCACUGUGCUAAUCAGCAGUGAAUUGACGGUACCUGCAAAGGAAGCACCGGCUAACUCCGUGCCAGCAGCCGCGGUAAUACGGAGGAUGCGAGCGUUAUCCGGAUUUAUUGGGUUUAAAGGGUGCGUAGGCGGUCCGUUAAGUCAGCGGUAAAAUUGCGGGGCUCAACCCCGUCGAGCCGUUGAAACUGGCAGACUUGAGUUGGCGAGAAGUACGCGGAAUGCGCGGUGUAGCGGUGAAAUGCAUAGAUAUCGCGCAGAACUCCGAUUGCGAGGGCAGCGUACCGGCGCCAGACUGACGCUGAGGCACGAAAGCGUGGGGAUCGAACAGGAUUAGAUACCCUGGUAC